rnacentral:rRNA from 1 species
GAUGAACGCUGGCGGCGUGCCUAAUACAUGCAAGUCGAGCGAACAGAUGAGGAGCUUGCUCCUCUGACGUUAGCGGCGGACGGGUGAGUAACACGUGGAUAACCUACCUAUAAGACUGGGAUAACUUCGGGAAACCGGAGCUAAUACCGGAUAAUAUAUUGAACCGCAUGGUUCAAUAGUGAAAGACGGUUUUGCUGUCACUUAUAGAUGGAUCCGCGCCGCAUUAGCUAGUUGGUAAGGUAACGGCUUACCAAGGCAACGAUGCGUAGCCGACCUGAGAGGGUGAUCGGCCACACUGGGACUGAGACACGGUCCAGACUCCUACGGGAGGCAGCAGUAGGGAAUCUUCCGCAAUGGGCGAAAGCCUGACGGAGCAACGCCGCGUGAGUGAUGAAGGUCUUCGGAUCGUAAAACUCUGUUAUUAGGGAAGAACAAAUGUGUAAGUAACUAUGCACGUCUUGACGGUACCUAAUCAGAAAGCCACGGCUAACUACGU